GACGUAGGGCGCGAGCGUUGUCCGGAUUUAUUGGGCGUAAAGAGCGUGUAGGCGGCCAGGUAAGUCGGUUGUGAAAACUGGAGGCUUAACCUUCAGACGUCGACCGAAACUAUCUGGCUAGAGUCCGGAAGAGGAGAGUGGAAUUCCUGGUGUAGCGGUGAAAUGCGCAGAUAUCAGGAAGAACACCCGUGGCGAAGGCGGCUCGCUGGGACGGUACUGACGCUGAGACGCGAAAGCGUGGGGAGCGAACAGG
rnacentral:rRNA from 1 species